GAGUUGGAUGAUAGCUGCUGGAUGACUAUCUAUAUCUUUGAUGGCACGUUAGUAAUAGAUCGAUGUGAAAUAGCUGAUACCGAUGACUAUCUGAACUGGGCAUCAUGCCUUUAGUAUUGAUAAUCAUAUUGAUUGAGUACCCCAGUAAGGUGAUGCAGAUCGGAUACAAAUCGAGAUGAGCGUUCCAUCUACUAGCAGUGCUGGAUUAAGUCGACUAACAGAUGGUACAGAAGAGGCAGAUCGGUUAUAGGCCGAUG
rnacentral:lncRNA from 1 species